CGCGCUUUCAAUCUAAAAUGCCUAUAGGAUGGAGAAAGGAAAGUGAAAGUGUGAAACAAUUUGGUGUUACUCUUACUCUUCUUAAUGCAAACAUACCUAUAUACUACCGUACAAAGACGAAUUUGAAUAUAUUUUGGGGUGUUCUCAAGCAUUGUACUUCAUGUUGUCGUAUGGCAAGGUGGGGAUAUCUUCAGAAAGGUUUUCAAAUUGUCAAGCAAGAUUAUAAAUACUAGAUAUUUGAAAUAUUCAACUUUUGAAAACAAAGUUUGAGUAGCUUCUGUAGCCUUCUUGUGAAACUUGGAGUAUAUUAGAAAAUAGGGGGAAAAUAUAGUUAUCUAUUUAGUAUUUGCAGGGAGGUUAAGGCAUCUUCCUCCCACAUGCUGUAAGGGCAUUUUCUUUUAAAAUAAAAUUUUCACCAGUGUCAUGAGAAAGCUAUUGCCUUUUGAAAUAUUCUUUGGCCAGGUGCAAGUAUUGCCAAAGGGUCAUAAGCAGAUUUUCUUUGCACAAAAACUUCCCAUUGUGGACCAAAGUGGGCUUGCCACUCUUCCUGUGUAGUGUAGUGAGGCAGAUAUUGCUUGACACCAAGACGGGCUGUGCCACAAAAUUCUAGGAUUCGCCUGUUCUGAGUUAGGAUAUGUUCUAAGCCAUCACUUCCUCUUGAAGAGGGAACGGCAGAGGAAAGGAAUGCCACCAAAUAGAAAAUAUCUUCUUCUGGAAUAACAGCAGAAGUUCUGUUGUCCCACCUGAAAUUGGAAUCAAUGAAUUAAUCAUUCAAAAAAAGCUACAGGAAUUUACUGAAAUAAAAUGAUCUUUGUUGAACUGUUACUUUGAUUUGUUGACUGGGUAGAUGAGGAUGGGCCCAUUACUGGUGUCUGUAAGGAUAUUUCCAAAGAUUUCUUCAGCAAAAUUGUGAAUUUUGCUUUUGGGGACAAGAAGAUUUAGCCAUGGAUGUGAAACUUCCCACAAGCCUUUGGACCGUAGUUUGAUCUCAGACACAUGAACCCUAUCCAAGAAUUCCAUGUAUGGAACUUCUGAUAGAAAAAGUGUUGAUGGGAUAUAUCUUAAUUGAGACAACAAGUUCAUUACUUCCUGCAACAUAAAAAAAAUAUACAAGUGUCCUUUUAUUAAUUUAAUUUAAUUUAUUAAUUUGUGUAUUACGUAUUUAUAAUUUAUUAAUCAAUUUAGUUAAAUAAUUUAGAAAACGACCAGAUGGUGGGCUAUUGCUUCUAACCUUAUUUAUUACAUCUUUCUUGUCUGUGUUGAAGUAUUUGGCCAAUUCUAAGCAGAAUAGUGUUCUUCCAUCUGAUUCAAACCGGCUAGCUUGUAAUGGGUCAUGAGGAUUAAAGGAUGACCUCCAGUUAUUUAAGAGACCAGUCCUGUUAAUGAUCACAAAUCCUUCAAUGUAGUCAAACGUGUUUUCUGCAGAUAUUAGAAGCUCCUGGUCUCUGGCAAAUUUGCUGAAGUCUGAGUAGAGCACUCUAAUCCAUUUCACCUAUUCGAAAUACAGAAUUCUGUUAUUAGAAGUAAAACUUUUAACUAAACUGAGAGCAAUUAUUUCCUUUUCUUUGUACUAAUUAAUUAAUUAAUACUCCCAAUGGUCAUGCUUUUUACCAUAUCAUGUGCUGGUUCUAAUGAUAUUCUUGCCCUUGUUAUGAUGCCAAACUGACCAAGUCCUCCAAGAACACUGUGGAAUAGGUCACCAUUCUGAUUCUCUGAGCAAUUCACUAUCUCUCCUUUCCCUACACUUAGUUUCAUUCUAUUUUAUGUUAGAAUUUAUGCUAUGCACAGGAUUUAUGUCUUUGUUAUAUAUGCAUGCAUACAGGCAUUUAUACACACACAAACAUAAACAAACACACAAACACUCUCUCUCUCAACUCAACUCAACUCAACUAAACUAAGCCUUUAUCCCAAGAACACACACUCUCUCUCUCUAAUGGAAAUAUAUACAGUGACCAGUGGUUGAAAUAUAUUCUAAUGGAACCAAGGUCUAGGACAACAUGCCUAACUAGGAAACCUGCCAAUGUCAUGGAUAUAGUCCAUUUGAUCUUGGUUUCAUUACUAAUUAUGCAAAUCAUCCCUUGAUGUGUGCGUGUGUGAGUGUGUGUGUGUGUGUGUGUUAUGUAUUAUCACCAUUUCAUAUGCCCACAAUUUACUUUUGACUAACCUGUAACAACUUCCAGCUGAUAGACAUUACUUAUUUGUGGGCCAUGCUGAAAUGCCUGCCCGCUAAUCCCAGCAUUGGAUAAAGUACCACCAACUGUUAAAUAUAGGUAGUCUGUCCAUGAUUUUGGUGCUAACCCGUAUUUCAGGCUUUCAUGCAGGAUAUUUAUCCAUAACUCACCACCUGAGACAUCCACAUAUGGAUAAUUUCCAGCAUGAACAUGCAUUUUUGGGCCUUGGAGAGAUUCCAUGUUGAUGACAACUCCUUGGUGGGCUUGUGCCUGACCUUGGAGCGAGUGGCUGUGGCCUCUGGCUGCAACUGUGAGCUGUGAAUGAGAACCCAUCUGCCAAAUAUGUUUUAUUGUAGUGGCAAUGUCAGAAACUGACUUUGGAUGUAGCACUGCAAAAGGGAGCAACUGAAACAUGUUGCCGAAGUCUUUGGCUGCACGGUGAACAUCAUCAAAAAUUAAAUGUCCAUCAAUGGAAAGUGUUCUCAAUGAAGAAUGGUCGCUGGAAAAACACAGGUUUAUUCUUAUAGUCAUGAAGCUUAGGAGUAAGAUCAUGAAACUUCUUGUGAAAAGCAUAUUAUUUUGUUUGUGGAAGAUAGCGGGUGGGCAUCUCAUCUUGUGGUUGGAAAAAUUGGAGGGAGCUGAGGGCAAAAGGUGUUUAAGCUGGUAUUAGUUGUUUCUUUGUAAGCAAAAGCAAAAGGAGAGUUGUGGAAGAGACAGGGAAAUGAAUGGCUGAGAAGAGAAUUUAAAGGUGAAGAUUUGGGUGCUGAGUCAACUAAACCAAUAUUCAGUUUUGAGAAUUCGUAUGAAGACUGCCUAACUGUUGCAAGAGUUUUAGGAUUUUACCUUUGGUUCUCUUUUUUGGGGAAUUAUUAUUUAUAAGAGAAACCAUCAAACAUAUGCCAAAGUUGAAUAGAAAAAGUCGCAAGAAAGAAAGAUUUCAUAAAUCUUUACAAUUUUUUCAAGCAGCAGCAACCACAAUCCCAUCUCCAUCACAGAUUUUUUUUUUUAAAAAAAAAGGUCUCCAAAGUUUUUAUCCUCAGCGUGUUAUGGAUGCUUAUCCUAUGUUUGGAAAAAGUAGAUGGCUUUGCCAUUAGGCGUAUCUCUGCCUACAGUGUCAAGUACGCUCAUACCCAAGUCUUGCAAACUUAAAUGAUGAUCAAUUAUGUUCUUGAAUCCAUAGCUGUAGGAAUGUGAGCAUAGCGUAUCUACCCUGAGAUCAGAUCAGAGGGACUUUUGGGGCCUCUCCUUUGAUUUAUUUGACAGGGUGAUGCCCAGUUAGGGUGUCGAUGGGUCCAUAGUGCACGUGAAAUUCAAAUGCUUGUAUGCUUUAUUGGGUGAAGGAUUAUGAUUGGCUAUGUUGGGACCCCUUUGGGCCACUGUGAAGGGUAAGAGGGAGAGGAGCGGGAGAUGGGGAUGACAGCUUGGAGGAAGCACUGAAAGACUUCUCUUCCUCCUAUCUGCAACUAAUUGUUUUGAAGCCUUAGUUCCCAGCAAUUGGACAAAAUCUGUAUGAUUCUCUUGUUUAUGUGUUCCCAAGUCCAACUAUUUGUCGUUUAACCUUUUUGUAACAAGUUGCGCCAAGUGUAGCUGAUGGCAUCAACUAAACUGUACUUGUUCAUGAAAUUUGGGUUUGUAAAGUUUCAGACCCUAGAAUUGUCCUAUAGGACAAGUGGAGGAGUAACUUCUACGAUUGGUCCAUAUCUUUUUGAUGAUCAA